rnacentral:rRNA from 1 species
CGAAGCUGGAUUCGCUAGUAAUCGCGCAUCAGCCACGGCGCGGUGAAUACGUUCCCGGGCCUUGUACACACCGCCCGUCAAGCCAUGGAAGCCGGGGGUGCCUGAAGUGCGCUGCCGCAAGGAGCGUCCUAGGGUAAAACCGGUGACUGGGGCUAAGUCGUAACAAGGUAUC